rnacentral:rRNA from 1 species
GCCGGCGUCGGCGGGCGUAUUUCGCCUCACAGUAGGUCGCCGCGACCCGUUGCUUCUGGGGACGUCGAAGGCCCGGACGGAUUGGUACCCUACCGGCUGGGGAUGCGGCUUCGGCUUCUCCUCUUGUCCGGUGGGCGAAACCGCCGGUGUCCUGGCUGCCCUGCGACGGUCGUAGAGACGAGCCCUCCCCAUUCGUGGGGGGCGGCUCUCGCGGCGUGCAAAAGGUCGGUGAUCCACCCGACCCGUCUUGAAACACGGACCAAGGAGUCUAACAUGUGUGCGAGUCAGUGGGCGCACUAAACCCAGAGGCGUAAUGAAAGUGACACGGGUUCGGCUGUCGCCUCGUGUGGCAGCCGGACUCAGGGCCGAUCCCUCACCGGUUGCCCUCGCCUCUCUCCCGCGUCUCGGUAAGCCGGGUGAGCUAUUUUCCCCGGCCAAUGCUGCGGGGCUCGGGGGGAGGCGGGGUUGCGAUGGUGUCCGUAAAAAAGAGCCUGCUGUUGCAGGGGGGCGCAGGCCCGGGACUUGCCAGGACGCCGCGAGACUGUCACUUUGCUGUGAGGCUCCAGGGCCGAUCAGCGGGUCAUGCGUGCAGUCGGCAAGUACCAUGAGCAGACAUGUUGGG